rnacentral:rRNA from 1 species
GACGAACGCUGGCGGCGUGCUUAAUACAUGCAAGUCAACUGAACUUUAGGUAGCAAUAUUUAAAGGGAGGUGGCGCACGGGUGAGUAACACGUAGGUAAUCUGCCUUCAGGACUGACAUAACUCCGCGAAAGCGGGACUAAAAUCAGAUGAUGCAGCGGCUCGACAUCGAGACAGUUGUUAAACCUUCGGGGCCUGAAGAUGAGCCUGCGUCUGAUUAGGUAGUUGGAGGGGUAAUAGCCCACCAAGCCUGCGAUCAGUAGCUGGUCUGAGAGGAUGAUCAGCCACACUGGAACUGAGACACGGUCUAGACUCCUACGGGAGGCAGCAGUAAGGAAUAUUGCUCAAUGGCCGAAAGGCUGAAGCAGCAACGCCGCGUGGAGGAUGAAAUACUUUAGUAUGUAAACUCCUGUAAGAGGGGAAAAAUAUACAGUUCUGCUGUAUUGAUUGUACCCUCAGAGUAAGCACCGGCUAACUACGUGCCAGCA